rnacentral:rRNA from 1 species
UACGUAGGGGGCAAGCGUUGUCCGGAAUCAUUGGGCGUAAAGAGCGUGUAGGCGGCCCGGUAAGUCCGCUGUGAAAGUCCAGGGCUCAACCCUGGGAUGCCGGUGGAUACUGUCGGGCUCGAGUCCGGAAGAGGAGUGUGGAAUUCCUGGUGUAGCGGUGAAAUGCGCAGAUAUCAGGAGGAACACCAAUGGCGAAGGCAGCACUCUGGGACGUGACUGACGGCUGAGACGCGAAAGCGUGGGGAGCAAAC